UACGUAGGGUGCGAGCGUUGUCCGGAAUUACUGGGCGUAAAGAGCUCGUAGGCGGUUUGUCGCGUCGUCCGUGAAAACUUGGGGCUCAACCCCAAGCUUGCGGGCGAUACGGGCAGACUUGAGUACUGCAGGGGAGGACUGGAAUUCCUGGUGUAGCGGUGAAAUGCGCAGAUAUCAGGAGGAACACCGGUGGCGAAGGCGGGUCUCUGGGCAGUAACUGACGCUGAGGAGCGAAAGCGUGGGUAGCAAACAAG
rnacentral:rRNA from 1 species